rnacentral:rRNA from 1 species
GUGUCAGCAGCCGCGGUAAUACGGAGGGUGCUAGCGUUGUUCGGAAUCACUGGGCGUAAAGCGCGUGUAGGCGGCCUGUUAAGUCUGAUGUGAAAGCCCGGGGCUCACCCCCGGAAGUGCAUUGGAAACUGCCAGGCUCGAGUCCCGGAGAGGAGGGUGGAAUUCCUGGUGUAGCGGUGAAAUGCGUAGAUAUCAGGAGGAACACCGGUGGCGAAGGCGGCCCUCUGGACGGUGACUGACGCUGAGACGCGAAAGCGUGGGGAGCAAACAGGAUUAGAAACCCCAGUAGUCC